rnacentral:rRNA from 1 species
UAUGUAGGGUGCAAGCGUUGUCCGGAAUUAUUGGGCGUAAAGAGCUCGUAGGCGGCCUGUCGCGUCGGCUGUGAAAACCCGGGGCUCAACCCCGGGCCUGCAGUCGAUACGGGCAGGCUAGAGUCCGGCAGGGGAGACUGGAAUUCCUGGUGUAGCGGUGAAAUGCGCAGAUAUCAGGAGGAACACCGGUGGCGAAGGCGGGUCUCUGGGCCGGAACUGACGCUAAGGAGCGAAAGCGUGGGGAGCGAACAGG